UUUAUCUAAAAUUCCCUCACUUACGGGAACUUUCUACACACACAACUCCACUUUGAUUCUGAACUUGCAAACCCCAAAUCUGCAGUCAUGAAGCUGCGGCGGUUUCGUUCCUACACAAUUCUCUCUCUUCUCCGGCGGCAUCUCCAUCCGUUCAGACUACCGGAGGUCCGUCGGGUUCACCUCCUCUACAGAUCGGCUCCUCCCUCCAGAACGGGAGUCCUAAUUUGGAAGAGGCAGCGGCGUUUCACCCACCGCUCCGCCUACUCCUCUGCGGUUUCACGCCAGUCACCGGUCCUCCCGCCUCCGUUUACCUCUGAAUCGCUCCGUCGAGUGCUUAGGGAGGCAGCGCCUCCGGCCCGCUCCCGAUUUCCCUUCGUUGGCGCCGACACCGGCUGCCUCGUCGCGCUGCAGCUCCGGCAGCGCCUCCGCUCCAGCUAGGUCUCCCGGAGCUCGUCCUUGCUCGUCCGCCGCCGGACAGCUCUGCCUAUCUAAAGCUAAGCCCUCUUCCCCUACCCCUUUACUUGAUGUUAUUUGAUUGUGGAUUCUUGAUUAAGUCUCGGCGGCCUGUGAAACUGGGGAUUCGGUCAUUGGAAUUGAUCUUUGGUUAUUACAGUUCUGAUUUUGCAUAAGCAUUUGGGAGCAUUUAGCUCACUGUAGUGAAUCUCUACUCUUACACAUGCUUACUGUGGAAAGACUUGAUGGGUUUGCUACUGUUCCAUACUUGAUGUGAAGAUCCUAUGGGAUGAUUAUAUAGUUGGAUUAUAUUAGAUAGUAUGUAUGUAUUUUAAGUAUACAAGUAGAAAUCAUGUUGUAGUGAAGGAAAUUAAGGAAACAGCUACCAUGCUCUAUUCUGGCAGCAUGUUACGAGUCCUGUUUAACCAAGUAAACGACCUCAUUUUCUUGCAAAAUUUUAGCUGAACAUACUUUCAUGUGUCUUCUGUCAUGUGACCAAAAUUCAGCUUCAUCCAAGUUCAAAUAGAUUUAUAGUGAUUUUUCCAAUACAAUCUGCCCUGUUCAGGCUAGUUAGGGGAAAAACGAUUAUAAACUCUAAAUGACUAGGAAUUUCCAGCUCAAAAUUCAUCCCUACAAACUACACAUGCAUGAACUUAUUUUGCCACUGAUUUUGUUAAGUUUCGACUUCCGAGUCUGUCUGAAUGAUUUUUCAAAGUUGGUUUAUUUUCUGUAAAAUCUUGGGACAUUAUAAAAGUUGAAAUGCUUAUGCUUUAACCAUAUUUUUUGGACAAGUGUAUGAAGAUAUGAUUCCUAAUGUGAAAUCUUGAAGGAGAAAUAGUUGUUUUGACUAAUAUAAUGUCUUGUAGGAUAUAUGCAUAAAUAAUAGACAAGAAUUAUGAAAUUAAGUUAGAAAAUAAUGUUUAACAGUAUGAAUUUGAUACUUUAUAUGCAAAAGUGAAAUAUAUAUUGAAGGGUAAUCCUAUCCCAGGAAAUAACAAGGACAAGGAGAAGGAGCAUGAAUAAAGUGAUUCGUGUGUCAAGAGCGUUUUGGAUUUCGAGAUUAGAGGAUCAGACCUAGCUCUUUUAUUGUUCAGCUGCAGCCAGGUCACUAGCCAGUCUUUUGAGUUCGAGUAAUUCUUGGAUAUGUUGGUUGUGGCAUGUAUAGAAAGUGUAAUGUUGUUUGGACGUUCAUUUACUUCGUUAUCCAGGUCGUAUAAAUAUAUAUAGACUUCUGUGAAAUAGGUUUACGGUCCAAUUUCAGACGUUAUAUAGCAGUUUUUCUGAUUGCCAAGUAAUGAAAAAUUAAUUAAUCUAUAAACGAAUAAAGAAGAAUCAAGGAUUUUCUGUUAAGUCAGGAUUGGUACUUAAAGGUGACAUCACUUAUUCGAUUAUUAAAUUAAUCGGGUAAGGGGUGUUACAUGUUUUGGUAUCAGAGCCUAGGUUUAGGCGGUCCUAGGCUUGAGACGUGUUUAGAUGUGUCUAGAAACAUGCCACAUAGGAUUUUGAUUUGAGUCAUUGCUAGUGACCUGAUGUGUAUAUGUUUUCCUGAUGUGUACAUGUUUGCCUUGUUUCAAAACGACAGUUUUUAGUUUCUGAGUGAUACGGAAAACCUUUCUGUAUAAGGUUCGAAAUGGUGAAUUAAGGUUGAAUAGACCGAUGAUCCUGUAGUUAUUUGGCCGGCUAUUGAAAAAAAAAACUUGCAUCUGUUGCCCUUAAAAUUGGCUCUUCAACUUAUAUUGUAUACGGCCAGUCGUCGUCGUGUUCUUGCUUUCUGUCUUCCUCAAGUUUGGCUUGCUCUCGCUUUUUGAGUAGAACUUUUUCAACAACACCACGAAAAAGUCCACUUUGGUUGCUCACUGAUCUGAUCAUCCAUUAAAACUAGGCUUUAAAGCUCCUUUAACUGAUACGGUGUAGUAAUAUGAAUAUGCCAAAUGAGAGUUAUCCUUCGUGAUCUCUUCCUUUGAGAAUUGUUGUUUGGGACCCUCCAACUUGUUUGCCAUUUUGUUGACCCUAUAAGAUAAUUGAAGGAAGUGAUUUUUCCUUGUUAGUACUGUUACCUUGGAGAAAUUAUCUUAUUUGAUUAAUUCCUGAUAACCGUAUCCUUUUGGGUCACCUAAACAUUGAUUGUUUAAUUAUCUACCACCACAGUGUCAUUAUUUUCUAUACCGAGUUUGGAGCCACUUGUAGUUUUACGUGAAACCUGAUUCUGACCCUUAAAACUUGGGAGGCUUUUGGUUGAACCUUCUGACCUUUGUGAUUUAUUGUCUCUAAUGACAAUAAUCCUUUACUUGUGUACUUUUGCCACUAAAUUUUGUUGUUGAAGUUGUUCGAGCUUAUGUCUGUUAUACUGAUAAAGCCUCUUUGAUAGUUGUUUUUAAGAGAUGACACAUUAACCAUAAUAUAUUUGGUUGACCCCUUGGAUAUAAAUUAUUGGCGUUCUUUCCUGCUGAAAUUACACUGAUUCCUUUGCCUAACCCUAUUGUUUAAAUUGUCUUCUAUCUCGAGACCUUUCUGCAACUUGAGAUUUGAGUUGAUGUUUUACCAUUAUCUCCAACGACUCUGCUUCAAUAAUCAUCUCUAUGAGUUGUUUUUCUUUGAACUGUCUUCGAAACAUAUGGAGCUAGCCACGAUAUGAUUCGUAUGUUUCUAUUGAACCUUAACCAUGAUGUUUGUUGAUUUAAGAUUCAGUCAUGCUUUUUGACUUUUAGAUUAUUGACCAUUCGUUUAUGUCCUACAUAUGCUUAAAUUGUUCUGGGAGGUAAUAAAUAUCUGAAUUAUGGAGCAAAGUUUCCAUGUGACUGAGAAAGUAGUUAAGUGGAACUGGCCACUCCACAUAACUCGAAUCUCAGUAGCGUCCUUCUUCGACAAACCAAUGGGUUUCAACUUUGAAAUCAUUUCAUUGGACUUAUUGUCAUUUCAUUCUUACCAUUGUUACCUUUUCCAAGCUUGUUCGGUAAUUAUUUGAUGAAAUCUUUCGAUCAGUCACUCUACUACAAUGUGUUAAAGGGAUCAUCUGUUUUCUCAUCAUUGUUGUUUCCAGUUGAUUUUUCUUUCCAAGGAAUUUGCGGAUCAACUCUUCCAAUUGGUAUCUUCACGUCUUGAUCCGAAUUAUCUUUUGUGAUAUCAUAUUCGUUGAACAUCUGAAAUGGUCAAUCUCUAAAUUUUCUUUUGAAGAUCAAGUUUAACCACUUAUUAUUCACUUGAUGUAUCCCAUAAGUUAAUGAUCCAUUUUUGCCUCAAUAAUUUCCUUCAUCAUGUGAACCGUAUUAACCAAUCUCUGUGUCCUGUCAUCUAAUAUUUCUCCUACAUCUGCACUAGAAAGUCAUGCCUUGAUGGAUUUCUUUGUAUCUGAGUUUGGAUCACCUUGUCCAGGAUCUUCUGUUUUGGCUUACUAGGAGGCAAUAUGUGUCUCCAUACCUAUUUCUUCUGUAAUGUGUAACCCUCUAUAAUUCGAUAUUGUUCUGUACCCUUGCCUAUUGGAGUUAGUGAUAUUUUUGACCAUCUGAUAUUAGUUUCUGCUACCAGAACUUCUAUCAAAGGUAGAUUGAUUGUCUUAUUUGUAAGUUUCUUAUGUUCCUUUCUGAAUAAUCCACCCAAGAUAUCGAGGUAUUUCUAAACUAUCUCUCUGGUGAAUAGUGUCUCUAUGUCUGCAUUUGAACCAGAUGUCUUAUGGCUCUUAUAUUACAAACAUUGCUUUUGGUGAAGUACGGUUUGCAUUUCUCUGUCCUUGAACAAUCCAAUCUCAUUGACAAUCUUUGCGAUUCUUCUCCCCAAUUUAUAUCACGUGUUAACUUCGAAUCUGAGCGGUGAUAAACAUAUAAAUUGUGCUUACUGAGGCUAAUCCUUGAGCCUACGAUGAUCGGAUCUGAAAUUAUCUUGCAAAACUAAUUGUUGGUGAGAGAUUGUGACUUGUGACAAAUUGGAGAUUCAAAACUCUAUGAAUUCAUGUUGGUUUGGUUACUAUGAUUCAAAAUCUUUGAACUACUGUGAUAGUGAUUGGCUUACAGAAACCUCACUACAUGCUUAUGUGAUCAUUUGGGAUUCUGCUAUCAGAUGUUGAUGAGAUUUGAGGAAAAAAAUAUAUAAUUUCCCAUAUCAAUGCCAAUUGUCAUGUUGUCUUUAGUGUGGUGGGCUUGGCUAGGACUAACUUUUGCAUGAAUUGGAUAUAAAAUUACCUUGAGAGAAUAUGAUAUGAAAGCAAUAUUCUGUCUCUUCGAUUCAGGUAUCAAUUUCGAGGACGAAAUUUCCUAAGGGGGGGAGAGUUGUAACGACCCAAAAAUUUCAUAACUUGAAAUUACUUUUAAUUCGAUAGAAGUCGAUGAUUAAAAUUAAUUUAGAAGUCUUAUUUAGACUUGGUGUGUUGGAUUAGUAGGAAAAUAAAAGUAAUUUAAAGAAGAAAAAGAAAUAAGAAAAGAAAAAGAAAUUGGAAAAAGGAAGGAGAUUUUUUUAUCUCAAUUCCCUCACUUACGGGAACUUUCUACACACACAACUCCACUUUGAUUCUGAACUUGCAAACCCCAAAUCUGGAGUCAUGAAGCUGCGGCGGUUUCGUUCCUACACAAUUCUCUCUCUUCUCCGGCGGCAUCUCCAUCCGUUCAGACUACCGGAGGUCCGUCGGGUUCACCUCCUCUACAGAUCGGCUCCUCCCUCCAAAACGGGAGUCCUAAUUUGGAAGAGGCAGCGGCGUUUCACCCACCGCUCCGCCUACUCCUCUGCGGUUUCACGCCAGUCGCCGGUCCUCCCGCCUCCGUUUACCUCUGAAUCGCUCCGUCGAGUGCUCAGGGAGGCAGCGCCUCCGGCCCACUCCCGAUCUCCCUUCGUUGGCGCCGACACCGGCUGCCUCGUCGCGCUGCAGCUCCGGCAGCGCCUCCGCUCCAGCUAGGUCUCCCGGAGCUCGUCCUUGCUCGUCCGCCGCCGGACAGCUCUGCCUAUCUAAAGCUAAGCCCUCUUCCCCUACCCCUUUACUUGAUGUUAUUUGAUUGUGGAUUCUUGAUUAAGUCUCGGCGGCCUGUGAAACUGGGGAUUCGGUCAUUGGAAUUGAUCUUUGGUUAUUACAGUUCUGAUUUUGCAUAAGCAUUUGGGAGCAUUUAGCUCACUGUAGUGAAUCUCUACUCUUACACAUGCUUACUGUGGAAAGACUUGAUGGGUUUGCUACUGUUCCAUACUUGAUGUGAAGAUCCUAUGGGAUGAUUAUAUAGUUGGAUUAUAUUAGAUAGUAUGUAUGUAUUUUAAGUAUACAAGUAGAAAUCAUGUUGUAGUGAAGGAAAUUAAGGAAACAGCUACCAUGCUCUAUUCUGGCAGCAUGUUACGAGUCCUGUUUAACCAAGUAAACGACCUCAUUUUCUUGCAAAAUUUUAGCUGAACAUACUUUCAUGUGUCUUCUGUCAUGUGACCAAAAUUCAGCUUCAUCCAAGUUCAAAUAGAUUUAUAGUGAUUUUUCCAAUACAAUCUGCCCUGUUCAGGCUAGUUAGGGGAAAAACGAUUAUAAACUCUAAAUGACUAGGAAUUUCCAGCUCAAAAUUCAUCCCUACAAACUACACAUGCAUGAACUUAUUUUGCCACUGAUUUUGUUAAGUUUCGACUUCCGAGUCUGUCUGAAUGAUUUUUCAAAGUUGGUUUAUUUUCUGUAAAAUCUUGGGACAUUAUAAAAGUUGAAAUGCUUAUGCUUUAACCAUAUUUUUUGGACAAGUGUAUGAAGAUAUGAUUCCUAAUGUGAAAUCUUGAAGGAGAAAUAGUUGUUUUGACUAAUAUAAUGUCUUGUAGGAUAUAUGCAUAAAUAAUAGACAAGAAUUAUGAAAUUAAGUUAGAAAAUAAUGUUUAACAGUAUGAAUUUGAUACUUUAUAUGCAAAAGUGAAAUAUAUAUUGAAGGGUAAUCCUAUCCCAGGAAAUAACAAGGACAAGGAGAAGGAGCAUGAAUAAAGUGAUUCGUGUGUCAAGAGCGUUUUGGAUUUCGAGGUAGUAUAUUCUACAUUAGGUCUUAAUUCCUGAAUUAAGUCUACGCUAUUGCAUAUAGAAUCUUAUGUGCUUUUAUGUGAUUUGUAUAUGUUAUUUAUGACGUGAAAUAUGUGAAUUUUGAAUAUGCGAUGGCAUUGUGAGAGUUGAAAUUUAAUCUGUUUAUCUGAUCUGAUAUGGUAUGAAAAGAAGUUGUUGAUCUGAUAUGUUAAAGAUUAUUGGAAAUAAGUAAUUUGAUGAGAAAAUGAAUAUAAAUCUGGCUGGAAAGUAAAUGAGAUAAAUGAUAUAUGCCUAUGAAAUGUAUACUUAUAUGAUUUUGCAUAAGCAUUUGGGAGCAUUUAGCUCACUGUAGUGAAUCUCUACUCUUACACAUGCUUACUGUGGAAAGACUUGAUGGGUUUGCUACUGUUCCAUACUUGAUGUGAGGAUCCUAUGGGAUGAUUAUAUAGUUGGAUUAUAUUAGAUAGUAUGUAUGUAUUUUAAGUAUACAAGUAGAAAUGUCUGAUCUAUCUGUAAUGAUGUCUGAUUUGUAUGCGUUGAUGUGUAUAUCAGAAAUUGUCAGAUAUAAAGUAUAUUUGAUUGUGUUUACGCCCCGUGCUUGAGUGUAUUCUGUGGGUACAAUUGGCAUGCCAUAGGACAGCAGCGCUGCAUUAUCUGUGAUCUCUCGUCUUCUGGAUAACCGAAGCGAGGAUCGUCUGUUAUCUGAUGGGCCCCUAUCUGAUCUGUCUGAUAUGCACCCUAUGGGUGAUCUGUUCCCGGGAUUAUCUGUCUGCACCCUAAUGGGUGGUCUGUGCGGCGUCCUCUCGACGACCAUGACCGCGUCCGUAUCUGAUUCUGUUCUGAUCUGGUCCGCAUACCCUGGUCUAUCGCUAAACACUUAAUGGGGCUAUAUGUGUUCUGAUAUGUGAGAACAAUGGUGAUCGCUAUGUGUUUUAUGAUAUGUAAUUGUGUGAAACCUCUGUUAUAACCCUGUUAUAACUCUGAUAUAUCUGGUACAUGAGAGCAUGUUUUGUCAUAUGUGUUUGGAUAUGUGAAACUGUGGUGAUCUGUAUAUGUGUUGGUGUGAUUAUAUGAUAUAAAGUGCUACACGAUAGUGAAUGCCAAGAUAUAACGUUAUAUGAUCAAGACGAUGAUAUGUGAAAAUUAUAUGCUUAUGUGAAAAACGAUAUUAUGUGAUGCUAAAUGAUAUAUUCUGAUGCUAAUAAUCCUCUGAUGCAAAAAGAGUGAAUCUGACAUUGUUUGACGUUGUAUGAAGUUAUGAUGUUGCUCGACACUAGCUACUGAUAAUUGAUCAUGUUUAUUGAUAUACUAUGAGAUUAUAUGAUUAUGCCUCAAGUAAGUCCCAGGAAAUCAAGGGAGGACGAUAUAAAGGUCAGACAUUUAUUGUUGGUUAUUUUGAUAUGUAUAUGGUUAUGAGAAUGUUGGUUCUGGAGAAUAUUCAAGGGUUAAUAUUGUAAACACAUAGGUUGUAUAAUGUUUACUUAACUCCGGAAAUUAGGCUCUAAUGUUGAUUAUACUACCGGGCUUGUUGAAGCUCACCCCUUUCUUUUUCCCCUCUGCAGAUUAGAGGAUCAGACCUAGCUCUUUUAUUGUUCAGCUGCAGCCAGGUCACUAGCCAGUCUUUUGAGUUCGAGUAAUUCUUGGAUAUGUUGGUUGUGGUAUGUAUAGAAAGUGUAAUGUUGUUUGGAAGUUCAUUUACUUCGUUAUCCAGGUCGUAUAAAUAUAUAUAGACUUUUGUGAAACAGGUUUACGGUCCAAUUUCAGACGUUAUAUAGCAGUUUUUCUGAUUGCCAAGUAAUGAAAAA